rnacentral:rRNA from 1 species
GGAGUCCAGCGUGCGCGCGAGUCAUUGGGUAAUUGCUAAACCUAAAGGCGAAAUGAAAGUGAAAACGCACUUCGCGUGCGUCGAGGGAAGAUGGGCGAGCUCUCUGCUCGCUCCGCAUUCCCGGGGCGUCCCUUUUUCGUUUACGAAAAUGGGCGCACCUAGAGCGUGCGCGCUGGGACCCGAAAGAUGGUGAACUAUGCCUGGUCAGGAUGAAGUCAGGGGAAACCCUGAUGGAGGUCCGUAGCGAUUCUGACGUGCAAAUCGAUCGUCGGAACUGGGUAUAGGGGCGAAAGACUAAUCGAACCAUCUAGUAGCUGGUUCCCUCCGAAGUUUCCCUCAGGAUAGCUGGCGCACGUGGUGCGAGUUUCAUCCGGUAAAGCGAAUGAUUAGAGGCAUUGGGGACGAAACGUCCUCAACCUAUUCUCAAACUUUAAAUGGGUGAGAUCUUCGGCUUUCUUAGAUGCGGCCGUUUCGGCGGUCGCGCAUGAAGCCGCAAGUUUCGAAUCGGUGUGCCAAGUGGGCCAUUUUUGGUAAGCAGAACUGGCGAUGCGGGAUGAACCGAACACAAUGGUAAAGAGCCUCAGUGGACGCUUAUUAGAUACCAUGAAAGGCGUUGGUAACUUAAGACAGCAGGACGGUGGCCAUGGAAGUC